rnacentral:lncRNA from 1 species
CUUGGAGACUGAAAGUUGGACUCGUAGGUACUGAGCGUCUUGUUGUGGAGACCAGAUGCAAUGCCUGGGCCUCCUGCUCCAGCUCCCGUCCAGCCCUGGGUCAAAGCCUGGAGGUGAAGGACAGGACAGCAGGGUGAGCUCCAGGAUGUGGAGGCAGGAAGAUGAGAAAUAAUUCCCUGACUGGUGUUGCUUCCAUUUCGGGAUGAAUUGUCCUCCAGCUGCUCCUGAUUCCUAUGUUAAAGUCCUGGUGUGGUGGCUCACAUCUGUCAUCCCUGCACUUUGAGAGUUCUGGAGGCCACAAGUGUGAAAUCAAGAUGUCAGCAGUGCCAUACUCUCUCUGAGAGUUCUCUUGGUGAGAACUCUUCUUUGUCUCUCCCAGUUUCUGGUGGUUUCCAGCAAUCUGUGGCUUCCUUGGCUUGUCGUCGCAUCAUUCCAGUCUCAGUCAUCUCACGGCCUCCUCACUAUGUGUCUGUCUGUGUUUACAUUUUCCUCUUCUCAUAAGGGCAGCAGUGAUUGGAUUAGGCAUGCUAGUAUAGCUUCUUCGCUUGAUGACAUCUGCAGACUCUGUUUCCAAAUAAGGCCUUGUUCAUGGGUACUGGGGUUAGGACUUCAACACCUCAUUUCUAGUCUCCUAUUUCACCAUGAAGAAAGCUAUGCUAGAAAGCUAUGUCCUUGUUACUUAUACAAAAUGGUAUUGAUAAUAGCUACCUACUCAAAACUACUCAGAAUAAGAUCAGUUUCUAGCAUGACAGUAUGAGGAGCCGCCUGACCCACUCCUCCAGGUAACCUGGUAAAAACAGCCAUUUAAGGCUUCUGGAAAUAGUCCCAAGGAAAAACAGCAAAGGAAGGAACCUGUAUUCAAGAAAAUGUACUAAUUUGCUAGAAGAGGUGAAUCUGUGGGAUUUGAACAAAGACCACUUCUUUCCUCCCCACUCCCAGCUCAGCACGGUGGCAAUUUCCCUCCAGACAGCUACUGCCGAAACACAGGUCUCCUCUCCUCCCAGCACAGAGGGUCUCCUUCCAGGGAGGAGUAGGAUGGCAGUGUCCUUCAUCCUGCCCCCAGCUCCCUGUUGCUGAGGCGGUCUCAGAUGAAUGCAGUUGAGAGGUGGGGGCUGCCACCCCUACAUCCUACUCAAGGAAGGAGACUCUACCUUGGGUGUGACAUGCUGAGAAGACUGUGGCGCAGGUCACUUUUGCCCUGGCUCUUGAGGUGGUGUUUCCAUGCCAGAAGUCUCAAGUUAAGAAGACCACUGGCUAUCCCCAACUCCUCCACCAAGUACCCAGCCCCUAGACAGGGGGUGUCACUCAGAGAAAAGCUUACCAUUGUUUCCACCCCCAGCUCCAGAGCUCUGGUUCAGAUAUUGUGUUGCAAGGUAGGGGAGAAGAAGCAGUUCAGAGAAAAAAAAGAUCGUUCUUCAUCUCUUCCCAAAGGAACUGACUUCAUUUUCAACAGAGCUUGGGGAAAAUUAAGCCUAAGGAUGCUCUCAAAACACAGUAGAGGUUGUGGUGAAGGGCAAUUGGGAGAAGCCAGUUUGCAGGAGAGAACCCAGAAUAAACCACUGGGAAGGAACCCUUCUGGGGGUCAGAACAAAUAUCAAACACUGACCUCAGAAAUUAUUCUUUCAAAGGAGCCACAAUUUAAUGGGGUUAGUUUGUGGAACACUUUAUGCCCCAGGAUGUUGUUGAAAACAAUAGGGCAAUUGGCCACCAAUUAAUGGAGCUUAACAGCUGGAUGUGGUUAGGGAAGUGCCAGAGAGCCCUAGCAAAACCACUGUCAUCCCAGCACGACUGUGGGCAUAUACAAAGCUGAACCUCUUUAGGGAGCAAUAUGAGAGGCUUAACGCUCUUGGAGGGAAAAUAUACAGUUGACCUUUGGACAACACAGGUUUGAACUGCGUGAGUCCACCUAUAUAUGAAUUUUUUUCCACCACUGCCAACCUUGAGACAAGACUGACCCCUAUUCUUCCCCCUCCUCUGCAGCAUACUUUACAUGCAGAUGAUGGGGAUAAAGAUCUUUAUGAUGAUCUAUUUCCACCUAAUGAAUAGUAAAUGUGUUUUCUCUUCCUUAGGAUUUUCUUAAUAAUAUGCUCUUUUCUGUAACUUAUUUUACUGAAAGAGUACAGUAUAUAAUACAUAUAACAGAAAAAAUAUAUGUUAAUUGACUAGCUGUGUUAUCAUUAAGAUUCCUUCUGGUCAACAGUAGGCUAUUAGUAAAGUUCUGGGGCAUCAAAAGUUAUACACAAUUUUUUUACUGCAUAGGCAGUCAAUGCCCAUACUCCUACUUUGUUCAAGUGUCAACUUUACUUCAUGAAAAUAAACCAGCUAGUCAGUAAAAAAAAAUCAAUAAGCAAAUAACAGUAACAAGUCCUGAAGGAGGGGAAGACCAAUACCCAGAGUCAGUAGAAUACAUUAUCUAAAAUGUCCAGUUUCUCACAAAAAAUUACAAGGCAUGCAAACAAACAAGAAAGUAUAAUAUGAUCCAUACACCUGAAAAAAAGCAGAGAAAGAAACUAACUUUAAGAAUGAUAAGACAUAGGCUGAGUGUGCCUGUAAUCUCAGCACUUUGGGGGGUUGAGGUGGGAGGAUUGUUUGAGCCCAGGAGAUUGAGGCUAGGCAUCUAUCACACCACUGUGCUCCAGCCUGGGUGACAAAGUGAAACCCUGUC